UACAGAGGUCCCAAGCGUUGUUCGGAUUCACUGGGCGUAAAGGGUGCGUAGGUGGUGAGGUAAGUCGGAUGUGAAAGCUCCGAGCUCAACUCGGAAAUGGCAUUGGAAACUACUUUGCUCGAGGGUUUGAGGGGGGACUGGAAUACUUGGUGUAGCAGUGAAAUGCGUAGAUAUCAAGUAGAACACCAGUGGCGAAGGCGAGUCCCUGGAAAACUCCUGUCACUGAGGCACGAAAGCUAGGGGAGCAAACAGG
rnacentral:rRNA from 1 species